rnacentral:tRNA from 1 species
GUUUCCAAAGUGUAGUGGUCAUCAUGUCUUCUUUUACAGGCAGAAAGUCCUGGGUUCAAUCCCCAGUGAAACCA